AUUGAACGCUGGCGGCAGGCUUAACACAUGCAAGUCGAGCGGGGGAAGGUAGCUUGCUACCGGACCUAGCGGCGGACGGGUGAGUAAUGCUUAGGAAUCUGCCUAUUAGUGGGGGACAACAUCUCGAAAGGGAUGCUAAUACCGCAUACGUCCUACGGGAGAAAGCAGGGGAUCUUCGGACCUUGCGCUAAUAGAUGAGCCUAAGUCGGAUUAGCUAGUUGGUGGGGUAAAGGCCUACCAAGGCGACGAUCUGUAGCGGGUCUGAGAGGAUGAUCCGCCACACUGGGACUGAGACACGGCCCAGACUCCUACCGGAGGCAGCAGUGGGGGAUAUUGGACAAUGGGGGGAACCCUGAUCCAGCCAUGCCGCGUGUGUGAAGAAGGCCUUAUGGUUGUAAAGCACUUUAAGCGAGGAGGAGGCUACUUUAGUUAAUACCUAGAGAUAGUGGACGUUACUCGCAGAAUAAGCACCGGCUAACUCUGUGCCAGCCGCCGCAGUAA
rnacentral:rRNA from 1 species